CUCCUGUGUCGCGGCCAGGGCGUUUCCGGUCUGCUGACGCGUCCGCGCCCCGAGGCCCCGCAGGUCCCACCUGGAGCAACAGGGCGGGGAUGGGCGUCAGGCUCCGCCGCACUGGCCGACCUGGUUCCUCAGCACCUGCGGGCCGGGGCUGCUGAGCCCGCCCAAAAAGGUCGUUUCCCUCGCAGUUUCCAACAUGGCAGGCAGGUUUUAUACAUGGAUAAGAAGUCCACAGAACGCCGAAGUUCUGAAGAUGCCAGGACCGGCAGAAGUGGAGGUAAACACAAACACAAGGAAAGAAAGCAAAAGCAAAACCACCACCGAUCCCGACAUAGAUCAUCAACAUCUCAUUCUUCAGAUGACUAUGUGUUUCCUUCUCUUACAUCAUCUUCAGGAAGCCAGACGGAUUCAUGUGUCAAAGGUAUCUUCUGAGAUGUCCGUCAUUCAGUCUGGUCCUCAGUCAUUGAUCCACGCCAUUUGCGACUGAGAUGCCUUCAUUCCUGUCUGCCUAGUCCUUUCAGCUGAAGAAACAAAUUCAAAAUGGUUGUGAGUUCAGGACUGAGUGAUGCACCCAGAGCUGGCAGCGCUGGAAAUGAAAACCCAGAGCACCUUUACUACUAUCUGAUUCCCUGCUGAGACUCUUUUAAAUGAAAUUCACAAUUUCUAAUAGGGAAAGCAGAGGCUGUAGGAGGAAGAAGGUGGUCCAGGUGGAGUCUUUACAUUCUCUCUCUCUCUCUCUCUCUCUCUCUCCCUCUCUCUGGUUCUGGUGAUCUGGGCAUUCUGUUCUGUUCCAGGAUCAUAAUGACUCCUACAACAGUCCAGCCCCUUUGGGAUUUGAGGGGACUACAGCUUUUAGGCCCCUAUUUCUUGGUCAGUGCUUGACUGAACAUUAGAAUCACCUGGGGAAUAUUUUAAAAAUCAUCCCCAACAGGCCACACCUGAAACCAGUGAAUUAAGCUAGGCUGUCCUGCAACGGGACCGAGGCAUCAAUAUAUUUUAGAGCUCUCAGGUGAUUUCAAUGUGCAGCCAAAGUUGAGAACCACUUCCUCUAGGUCAGUACUUCUCAAACUUAAAAUAUUACUCAUCUAGGGAUCUUAAAUGCAGGUCUCAAGAUGGGGCUCAAGAUUCUGCGUAUCUAGCAAGCUCUCAGAUGAUGUCUCUGAUGGUGGUCUGACUACUACACUUUAGGUAGCAAGAAUCGAGACUACAGCAGUGAUUCACAAGCCAUCAAACCACUAGGGAAACUUGGAAUAAACAGAAACAUCAGUGCCUCACUCCAACCCAUUAAAAACAACUUCCUCUGUUGGGUAUAAUUUUUGUUGUUUAUGGACCUCUUGAGAUGAACAAAUCACCGCCAACAAAUUCCAAGUAAUCCAGGCAGCCUGAGGAUGGAUGAUACAUGUGACCCUACUGCCUCCUAAGAUGUUUCAAGCCUGUUUACCCUGUGUGGUCAUGACAUCUAAGAAAGAGCACUUACUUCCUUAGCUGAGGGUGAUCCAUAACCUGACCCACAUAGGAUGUAGACAUCUCCUUCUGGACUUGGGAGACCUGAACUAUGUAAUUUUGGCCAGUACUCUUGAACUCUCCAUGCUUUAGUUACCUUCUCUUUCUACCUCCCCCCUCCCCACAGCCCCUGUGUCUCAUGGAGGUACUAUGAGAGUAAAUGACACAGGACAAGGAGUUGGGGUGGAGGUGGAGGGCAGAAAAAGGAGAAUCACAUGACAAACGAUGUGAUGAGAGUUCGUUGUCCGGACUGUCCGGCUCUGGUUUGGCAGUUCCUUGCCAGCACAACUUCUGCACUGGAUCCACUUUCCCGCCAUCUGACCGUGCUUCUGGGAGAGGCCCCCCUCACUGUGACUCGGAGUUUUGUGGGGGCCAGGCGUCCAAGAGGAUUGAGGUUUGCUUGAUACGUGGCAUGUGCGAGACUCCUGAGGAUGACUCCAGAACUGUGGGCCUCUGGCAUCCAGGUCAUUGAGGGACUGGAAGACUGCAGACUACAUUCCCAAAUCCAUUGCCAGCUGGUCUAAAUAUGGGAUUUAUUAAGAUAUAUACCCAAGAGUGGAAUUGCUGGAUCAAACGUCCUCUCCACCAGGAAGCCUACACAAGCCCCAGAACCAACCUUACCCACUGGGGGCAGACACCAAAAACAAUGGGAACUAUGAACCUGUACCCUGUGAAAAGGAGACCCCAAACACAGUAAGUUAAGCAAAAUGAGAAGACAGAGAAAUAAGCAGAUGAAGGAGCAAGGUAAAAACCCACCAGACCAAAAAAAUGAAGAGGAAAUAGGCAGCCUACCUGAAAAAGAAUUCAGAGUAAUGAUAGUAAAGAUGAUCCAAAAUCUUAGAAAUAGAAUGGAGAAAGUACAAGAAAUGUUUAACAAGGACCUAGAAGAACUAAAGAGCAAACAAACAAUGAUGAGCAAUACAGUAAAUGAAAUUAUAAAUUCUCUAGAAGGAAUCAAUAGCAGAAUAAAUGAGGCAGAAGAACAGAUAAGUGACCUGGAAGAUUAAAUAGUGGAAAUAACUACCAUACAGCAGAAUAAAGAAAGAAGAAUGAAAAGAACUGAGGACAGUCUCAGAGACCUUUGGGACAACAUUAAACAUAUCAACAUUCAAAUUAUAGGGGUCCCAGAAGAAGAAGAGAAAAAGAAAGGGUCUGAGAAAAUAUUUGAAGAGAUUAUAGUUGGAAACUUCCCUAACAUGGGAAAGGAAUAGUCAAUCAAGUUCAGGAAAUGCAAAGAGUUACAUACAGGAUAAAUCUAAGGAGAAACAUGCCAAGACACACAUUAAUCAAACUAUCAAAAAUUAAAUACAAAGAAAAAAUAUUAAAAGCACCAUGGGGAAAGCCACAAAUAACAUACAAGGGAAUCCCCAUAAGGUUAACAGCUGACCUUCCAGCAGAAACUCUACAAGCCAGAAGGGAGUGGCAGGACAUAUUUAAAGUGAUGAAAGGGAAACACCUACAACCAAGAUUAUGCUACCUAGCAAGGACCUCAUUCAGAUUUGAUGGAGAAAUUAAAAUCUUUACAGACAAGCAAAAGUUAAGAGAAUUCAGCACCACCAAACCAGCUUUACAACAAAUGCUAAAGGAACUUCUCUAGGCAGGAAACACAAGAGAAGGAAAAGACCUACAAAAACAAAGCCAAAACAAUUAAGAAAAUGGUAGUAGGAACAUACAUAUCUAUAAUCACCUUAAAUGUAAAUGGAUUAAACACUCCAACCAAAAGACACAGACUGGCUGAAUGGAUACAAAAACAAGACCCAUAUAUAUGCUGUCUACAAGAGACCCACUUCAGACCUAGGGACACAUACAGACUGAAAGUGAGGGGAUGGAAAAAGAUAUUCCAUGUAAAUGGAAAUCAAAAGAAAGCUGGAGUAGCAAUUCUCAUAUCAGACAAAAUGGACUUUAAAAUAAAGACUAUUACAAGAGACAGAGAAGGACAGUACAUAAUGAUCAAGGGAUCAAUCCAAGAAGAAGAUAUAACAAUUAUAAAUAUUUAUGCAUCCAACAUAGGAGCACCUCAAUACAUAAGGCAAAUGUUAACGGCCAUAAAAGGGAAAUCAGCAGUAACACAAUCACAGUAGGGGACUUUAACACCCCACUUUCACCAAUGGACAGAUCACCCAAAAUGAAAAUAAGUAAGGAAACAUAAGCUUUAAAUGACACAUUAAGCAAGAUGGACUUAAUUGAUAUUUAUAGGCCAUUCCAUCCAAAAACAACAGAAUACACUUUCUUCUCAAGUGCUCAUGGAACAUUCUCCAGGAUAGAUCAUAUCUUGGGACACAAAUCAAGCCUUGGUAAAUUUAAGAAAAUUGAAAUCAUAUCAAGUAUCUUUUCCGACCACAGCACCAUGAGGCUAGAUAUCAAUUACAGGAAAAAAACUGUAAAAAAUACAAACACAUGGAGGCUAAACAAUAGGUUACUAAAUAACCAAGACAUCGCUGAAGAAAUCAAAGAGGAAAUCAAAAAAUACCUAGAAUCAAAUGACAGUGAUUUGACCCAAAACCUGUGGGAUGCAGCAAAAGCAGUUCUAGGAGGGAAGUUUAUAGCAAUACAAUCCUACCUCAAGAAACAAGAAAAAUCUCAAGUAAACAACCUAACCUUACACAUAAAGCAAUUAGAAAAAGAAGAACAAAAAAAAAAAUACAAACCAAAGUUAGCAGAAGGAAAAAAAUCAUAAAGAUCAGAUCAGAAAUAAAUGAAAAAAACAAAGAAAAAAAAAAAGAAAGAAAUGAAAAAGAAAUGAAGGAAACAAUAGCAAAGAUCAAUAAAACUAAAAGCUGGUUCUUUGAGAAGAUAAACGAAAUUGAUAAAACAUUAGCCAGACUCAUCAAGAAACAAAGGGAGAAGACUCAAAUCAACAGAAGUAGAAAUGAAAAAGGAGAAGUAACAACUGACACUGCAGAAAUACAAAGGAUCGUGAGAGAGUACUACAAGCAACUAUAUGCCAAUAAAAUGGACAACCUGGAAGAAAUGGACAAAUUCUUAGAAAAGCACAACCUUCUGAGACUGAACUGGGAAGAAAUAGAAAAUAUAAACAGACCAAUCACAAGCACUGAACUUGAAACUGUGAUUAAAAAUCUUCCAACAAACAAAAACCCAGAACCAGAUGGCUUCACGGGUGAAUUCUAUCAAACAUUUAGAGAAGAGUGAACACCUUUCCUUCUCAAACUCUUCCAAAAUAUAGCAGAGGGAGGAACAGUCCCAGAAUCAUUCUACGAGGCCACCAUCACGCUGAUACCAAAACCAAACAAAGAUGUCACAAAAAAAGAAAACUACAGGCAAAUAUCACUGAUGAACAGAGAUGCAAAAAUCCUCAACAACAUACUAGCAAACAGAACACAACAGCACAUUAAAAGGAUCAAACACCAUGAUCAAGUGGGGUUUAUCCCAGGAAUGCAAGGAUUCUUCAAUAUACGCAAAUCAGUCAAUCAAUGUGAUACACCAUAUUAACAAAUUGAAGGAGAAAAACCAUAUGAUAAUUUCAAUAGAUGCAGGAAAAGCUUUCGACAAAAGUCAACACCCAUUUAUGAUAAAAAUUCUCCAGAAAGUAGGCAUAGAGGGAACUUACCUCAACAUAAUAAAGGCCAUAUAUGACAAACCCACAGCCAACAUCAUUCUCAAUGGUGAAAAACUGAAACCAUUUCCACUAAGAUCAGGAACAAGACAAGGUUGCCCACUCUCACCACUAUUAUUCAGCAUAGUUUUGGAAGUUCUAGCCACAGCAAUCAGAGAAGAAAAAGAAAUAAAAGGAAUACAAAUUGGAAAAGAAGUAAAACUGUCACUGUUUGCAAAUGACAUGAUACUAUACUUGAGAAUCUAUACUUGAGAAUCUGCAAGAUGCUACCAGAAAACUACUAUAGCUAAUCAAUGAAUUUGGUAGAGUAGCAGGAUACAAUAUUAAUGCACAGAAAUCUCUUGCAUUCCUAUACACUAAUGAUGAAAAAUCUGAAAGGGAAAUUAAGGAAACACUCUGAUUUACCACUGCAACAAAAAGAAUAAAAUACCUAGUAAUAAAUGUACCUAAGGAGACACAAGACCUGUAUGCAGAAAACUAUAAGACACUGAUGAAAGAAAUUAAAGAUGAUACAAGCAGAUAGAGAGAUAUACCAUGUUCUUGGAUUGGAAGAAUCAACAUUGUGAAAAUGAUUAUACUACCCAAAGCAAUCUACAGAUUCAGUGCAAUACCUAUCAAACUACCAACAGCAUUUUUCCCAGAAUUAGAACAAAAAUUUGCAAAAUUUGUAUGGGAACACAAAAGACCCCAAAUAUCCAAAGCAAUCUUGAGAAAGAAAAACUGAGCUGGAGGAAUCAGGCUCCUGGACUUCAGACUAUACUACAAAGCUACAGUAAUCAAGACAAUAUGAUACUAGCACAAAAACAGAAAUAUAAAUCAAUGGAACAAGGUAGAAAGCCCAGAGAAAAACCCACACACAUAGGGUCACCUUAUUUUUGAUAAAGGAGGCAAGAAUAUACAAUGGAGAAAAGACAGCCUCUUCAAUAAGUGGUGGUGGGAAAACUGGAGAGCUACAUGUAAAAGAAUGAAAUUAGAACACUGCCUAACACCAUACACAAAAAUAAGCUCAAAAUGGAUUAAAGACCUAAAUAUAAGGCCAGACACAAUAAAACUCUUAGAGGAAAACAUAGGAAGAACACUCUUUGACAUAAAUCACAGCAAGAUCCUUUUUGACCCACCUCCUAGCGAAAUGGAAAUAAAAACAAAAAUAGACAAAUGGGACCUAAUGAAACUUAAAAGCUUUAGCACUGCAAAGGAAACCAUAAACAAGACGAAAAGACAACCCUCAGAAUGGGAGAAAAUAUUUGCAAAUGAAGCAACAGACAAAGGAUUAAUCUCCGAAAUAUACAAGCAACUUAUGCAGCUUAAUAUCAAAAAGCAAACAACCCAUUCCAAAAAUGAGCAGACCUAAAUAGACAUUUCUCCGAAGAAGAUAUACAGAUUGUCAGCAAACACAUGAAAGGAUGCUCAACAUCCCUAAUCAUUAGAGAAAUGCAAAUCAAAACUACAAUGAGGUAUCACCUCACACCGGUCAGAACGGCCAUCAUCAAAAAAUCUACAAACAAUAAAUACUGGAGAGGGUGUGGAGAAAAGGGAACCCUCUUGCACUGUUGGUGGGAAUAUAAAUUGAUACAGCCACUAUGGAGAACAGUAUGGAGGUUCCUUAAAAAACUAAAAAUAGAACUACCAUAUGACUCAGCAAUCCCACUACUGGGCAUAUACCCUGAGAAAACCAUAAUUCAAAAAGAGUCAUGUACCACAGUGUUCAUUGCAGCACUAUUUACAAUAGCGAGGACAUGGAAGCAACCUAAAUGUCCAUCGACAGGUGAACGGAUAAAGAAGAUGUGGCACAUAUAUACAAUGGACUAUUACUCAGCCAUAAAAAGAAACGAAAUUGAGUUAUUUGUAGUGAGGUGGAUGGACCUAGAGUCUGUCAUACAGAGUGAAGUAAGUCAGAAAGAGAAAAACAAACACCUUAUGCUAACACAUAUAUAUGGAAUCUAAAAAAAAAUGAUUCUGAGGAACCUAGGGGCAGAACAGGAAUAAAGACGCAGACGUAGGGAAUGGACUUGAGGACACGGGGAGGGUGAAGGGUAAGCUGGGACGAAGCGAGAGAGUGGCAUGGACAUAUAUACACUACCAAAUGUAAAAUAGGUAGCUAGUGGGAAGCAGCCACAUAGCACAGGGAGAUCAGCUUGGUGCUU